GUCAUGGUGAAAUCAUACGAGAUCACUUUCUUGUGAAAUCUCAAAUACCAUUGCCUUGAAGAUUUUUCCAGACCAUAAAUAGAUCUUUUCAAUUUACAAACCUUCUUUUCUUGGCAUUUAACGAUGAAAGCCUACAAAUUAUUCCAUGUAGAUUUUCUCAUUUUGUUCUCCAUUGAGAAAAUAUGUCUUCACGUCCAUUUGGUAUAAUUCCAGAUCUAAACGUGCAACAAUAGCCAAAAGUAAGUGAAUUAAGCACAACCCCAAGGUCAUAAAUCAUUUAAGUUUGGUUGUGACCAGCCCAUAGCUCAUAAGGACCGGAAGAAACUGAUUUAGAAGGUACUUUGUUCAAUAUGUAGGCUGCACUCAAUAACGCAUCUCCCCAAAAAGAGAUAGGCAGUAGGUAUAGCUUUUGCAGCACCAAGCUACUCAUCUUCAAGCUCCACAUGAUGGCAACAUCGAAAAGCUUAUAAUGUUAUCAUAAUGGGUUAUAUUAACCUUCAAAUGUUUCCAACAGUUGGAAAGAGACUAGAUCACUACUUGCUGCUCAUCGGAGAGAACAUUACCAACACCUUUAAGUGGGCCAAUUAUUUCAAACAUCACCUUACGAUGUUGCUUGACACUAUGAUCAUUUAAUUUCGUGUACGUGUCAAACUUGAUUAUCAACUAUCUGAGGAGAGUCAUAGUUGUAUUGCCAUAUGUCUCUCGUAAGUGUGCCCAUGUGGCAUGAGCAAUAAGAUAUUAUUCACAUUCAUGGAUGAGAUCAUCGCCAUUGUAACUUAUAAUUAUUUCUGGGCAGUGGGAUCUUUCUUUAUCUAUGCAUUAUAAGCAUUGAGAAGAUCUCAAUGUUGGUAGUAUUAUGCUCCUCGUAGUAACACAUCAUAUGAUUUAUAUUCUCUAGAGCAUCUUGCUCUUCCAAUACAUGCCAUA